rnacentral:lncRNA from 1 species
GGGUUGAGAGCAAGCUAGGCUAGCUGCGUGGCUCCAUGUUGGCCAUGCAGGACCGCCAAGGUUGACCCAAUGUGAUCCGAUCAAGUUUGGUCUUUUUGAGACUUGCUUCAACCGUUUCUCCUUGUAGAUUAGAGUUACGGAUGAUAAUUUUAGUCAAUCCAUCUGAUGUGCAACUUGAUCCGGAGCAAAUAUGGGUUCUAAAAUAAAUAUUCGAAGUGGAUUCAAAUAGAAUACAGAUAAUAAUAUAUCCUGAUCCGAUAUAAUCUUAAUUAAUAUAUAUAUUUUUUCAAAAUUAUAAUAAUUUUAUAUUAUUUACAUGCAUCUGAUCCAAUCCGAUCAAUUCCUCUUAUCUAUCUGAUCCGAUCUGAUCUGCAUCUCUACUUGAUCCUACCCGAUCCGAUCUAAAGUGAAUAUGGAUAUGAAAUUUUUACUGCAUAAAUAUAGACAGAUCCGAUCCAUUGCUAUCUUUUAUUGGGUUAGGAUGGAGCACAAUCCAAAGUCUAUAUUGAUCUCAAUUAUUGCUGUGACCAAUGCCCAAUUUAUAUGGUCUUGAUUUUCAAGUAUAGCCAAGUGGUUAGAUGAUCCAUUUGCAAAUACUGUGCCAUAGGCGCCACCUCCUAACUUCAAAAUUCUGGAUCCUAUAUAAAAAAAGAAGAAGAAUAAAAAAGAGAAAUACUAUGGUUACUCGGAAAAAUCACUUAAAAAGUCAUUGAGGUGCCCCGCACCAAUCACUUUGUUUCAUUCAAUAGCACACCUUAUGAUGCUAAAUUCAAAGGGAGGAAACUAGUUGUGAC